GGAAGCCUCAAGCUCCUGCUGAAGGUGGUGUUAAAUCAGCUACAGAUAAGAGUCAGAAUGCUACUGAAGAAAUGGAGAUUGAUUUAUAAUAUAAAUCUCACCUUUUCACGAAUAGCAAAAACUGCUUCUAGUUCUUUGAUGUCAGCCAGUUCUGUUAUCACCUGUGUCAACUGCAACUUCAGCUUCAGUGUUCUGAAUCUCCAGCCUGCUGUAUCACCUGGCUCUUUUGCAAUGUUCAAGCGCUACUACCACAAAAGGUUGCAUAUAAUAAUCAUGUAGAUAGAGGAUUCAUUAAGUAAAGUUAGAAUGAGGAGCCAUAUGUGGCUGGAUAAUAAGCAAUUACUUUGGUUAGAAGAUGGGGGGCCUAUAAGAGGGAGAAAUAGUUUAUUCAAAAAGGCCUCGCAUAAAUUUCAGUUAGUACUCUCGUGGAGCUUUGAGCAACCAGAUGCUUAAAUGGACAUUUCCUCAAUCAUCUAUGAAGUCU
rnacentral:misc_RNA from 1 species